UCUAAACUAAACUGUAAUCCUUCCAGGCUAGUAAACCACUUGGACAAAAAUGGCCAAAUGUGAUCACUGAGUUGGAACAGAGAAAAGUCAUCAUGUGAGGAGCCUUGAGCUACACAUUCUGGCAGUCUCUUCAUACACAAGAUCAAAGAGGGCCUCUGGAAGCACCGGGUUUACCAGAGUUUGAAAUCAGAAAAAAAGAAAGUGGCCCUUUCUCCUUCAUCUUCCAUUUGACAGGUGUCAUGAGAGCCACCCUUCCCAAAGGAGCACUUGUGAGCAAAGGUGAUCAGAGGGCUUUCUGAAGAGUGAGAAGUGACUUCGGAGGGCCAAAAAGAAGAAAAGGGAGUGAGCCAGUCAUUAAGACUCCUAAUCCCGGCUUAUUUUUACUGCUUCUCAACACAGCAUUGCAAGUGGUUGAUUUGAUGGAUGUGACACGUAACCAAGUUCUGGCUAAUGAGAUGUCUGAAACUUAAAGUAGAAGAGAUGUAUCAUCUCCUUUUCCUUGCUCCAUCCUGCUACCUGAAAAAUGGAUGUGGUGACAAGCCCUGGAAAAUCACAAGGAUGAGAACAGCACUGGAGAAAUGGUGCAGAGCAUGAUGAAAUUGCCUAGGUAUCUGACGGCUGAGUAGAAUUGCUCUCCUCCGACUUUUACAUCGGAAGGAAAUAAAACUCUAUUUUGUUUGA